rnacentral:rRNA from 1 species
GCUARAMGAUGAMGAGUGGCGGACGGGUGAGUAAUGCUUGGGAACUUGCCUUUGGGAGGGGGAUAACAGUUGGAAACGACUGCUAAUACCGCAUAACGUCUACGGACCAAAGGGGGCUUAGGCUCCUACCUGAAGAGAGGCCCAAGUGAGAUUAGCUAGUUGGUAAGGUAACGGCUUACCAAGGCRACGAUCUCUAGCUGUUCUGAGAGGAAGAUCAGCCACACUGGGACUGAGACACGGCCCAGACUCCUACGGGAGGCAGCAGUGGGGAAUAUUGCACAAUGGGGGAAACCCUGAUGCAGCCAUGCCGCGUGUGUGAAGAAGGCCUUCGGGUUGUAAAGCACUUUCAGUUGUGAGGAAAGGUUGGUAGUUAAUACCUGCCAGCUGUGACGUUAACAACAGAAGAAGCACCGGCUAACUCCGUGCCAGCAGCCGCGGUAAUACGGAGGGUGCGAGCGUUAAUCGGAAUUACUGGGCGUAAAGCGCACGCAGGCGGUUUGUUAAGCUAGAUGUGAAAGCCCCGGGCUCAACCUGGGAUGGUCAUUUAGAACUGGCAGACUAGAGUCUUGGAGAGGGGAGUG